AUGGAGACUGGGCUGCGCUGGGUUCUCCUUGUUGCUGUGCUCAAAGGUGUCCAGUGUCAGGAGCAGCUGGAGGAGUCCGGGGGAGGCCUGGUCAAGCCUGGGGGAUCCCUGACACUCUCCUGCAAAGCCUCUGGAUUCACCGUCAGUAGCUAUGCAAUGUACUGGGUCCGCCAGGCUCCAGGGAAGGGGCUGGAAUGGAUCGGAGUCAUUAAUACUGGUGGUAGCACAUACUACGCGAGCUGGGCGAAAAGCCGAUGCACCAUCUCCAGAAGCACCAACCAGAACACGGUGUCUCUGAAAAUGACCGGUCUGACAGCCGCGGACACCGCCACCUAUUUCUGUGCCAGGGGAAGCCCUGGUUUCCCGUCAGGGAUUUGGGGUCCUGGGACCCUCCUGUGGGGCUCCUGCCUGAACUCAGGAGGGAAAUGCGCUGGACAGGAGCAGUCAAGGUCAUAA